UACAGAGGGUGCGAGCGUUAAUCGGAAUUACUGGGCGUAAAGCGUGCGUAGACGGUUAUUUAAGUCGGAUGUGAAAGCCCCGGGCUCAACCUGGGAAUUGCAUUCGAGACUGAAUAGCUAGGGUGCGGUAGAGGGAUGCGGAAUUCCAGGUGUAGCGGUGAAAUGCGUAGAUAUCUGGAGGAACACCGGUGGCGAAGGCGGCAUCCUGGACCGAGAUUGACGCUGAGGCGCGAAAGCCAGGGGAGCAAACGGGG
rnacentral:rRNA from 1 species